rnacentral:rRNA from 1 species
UACGUAGGGUGCGAGCGUUAAUCGGAAUUACUGGGCGUAAAGCGUGCGCAGGCGGCUUGCCAAGUCAGAUGUGAAAUCCCCGGGCUCAACCUGGGAACUGCAUUUGUGACUGCAUGGCUAGAGUACGGUAGAGGGGGAUGGAAUUCCGCGUGUAGCAGUGAAAUGCGUAGAUAUGCGGAGGAACACCGAUGGCGAAGGCAAUCCCCUGGACCUGUACUGACGCUCAUGCACGAAAGCGUGGGGAGCAAACAGG